rnacentral:rRNA from 1 species
AUUGAACGCUGGCGGCAGGCUUAACACAUGCAAGUCGAGCGGAGAUGAGGUGCUUGCACCUUAUCUUAGCGGCGGACGGGUGAGUAAUGCUUAGGAAUCUGCCUAUUAGUGGGGGACAACAUUCCGAAAGGAAUGCUAAUACCGCAUACGUCCUACGGGAGAAAGCAGGGGAUCUUCGGACCUUGCGCUAAUAGAUGAGCCUAAGUCGGAUUAGCUAGUUGGUGGGGUAAAGGCCUACCAAGGCGACGAUCUGUAGCGGGUCUGAGAGGAUGAUCCGCAACACUGGGACUGAGACACGGCCCAGACUCCUACGGGAGGCAGCAGUGGGGAAUAUUGGACAAUGGGGGGAACCCUGAUCCAGCCAUGCCGCGUGUGUGAAGAAGGCCUUAUGGUUGUAAAGCACUUUAAGCGAGGAGGAGGCUACUGAGACUAAUACUCUUGGAUAGUGGACGUUACUCGCAGAAUAAGCACCGGCUAACUCUGUGCCAGCAGCCGCCGUAAAAC